rnacentral:rRNA from 1 species
CCUACGGGUGGCAGCAGUGAGGAAUAUUGGUCAAUGGUCGUAAGCCUGAACCAGCCAAGUCGCGUGCAGGAUGAAGGCCCUAUGGGUUGUAAACCGCUUUUAUGAGGGGAUAAAGUGCGUCACGUGUGACGUUUUGUAGGUACCGUAUGAAUAAGGACCGGCUAAUUCCGUGCCAGCAGCCGCGGUAAUACGGAGGGUCCGGGCGUUAUCCGGAUUUAUUGGGUUUAAAGGGUGCGUAGGCGGCAUGUUAAGGGUGCCGUGAAAUGCCGUGGCUCAACCAUGGAAUUGCGGCUGAAACUGGUGUGCGUGAGUGUGCGUGACGUAGGCGGAAUGCGUGGUGUAGCGGUGAAAUGCUUAGAUAUCACGCAGAACCCCGAUUGCGAAGGCAGCAUACCACGGCACGACUGACGCUGAUGCACGAAAGCGCGGGUAUCGAACAGGAUUAGAUACCCCUGUAGUC